AUUUAAUAGCAUCUUUUACCACAGCAGCAUGUGUCCAUGGUGAAGAAUAUGAUGGAUGGAAUGACUAUCCACCGUCACCACCCCAACCCACGCUUCCACUCCAACCGCCGCCACCAAAUGUCAACCAAACCCACCAACACCUUUCCUUACACCCACCACUCCAAUUUCUCACACCCACUCCAAUAAUAACAACCUUUAUAAACCCAAAACACCCACCACACACACCACACCACACCACACCCUCUCUCAUCAUGGCCACCCCAAACGACGCCGCUUCGCCGACCAAGAAGCCUCAACCCAUCCCCUGGACCCACCAAGAAACUGUCCACCUCAUCGGCGCCUACCAGGAGAAGUGGUACGCGCUCAAGCGCGGCCCACUCCGCCACAACCAGUGGGAGGAGGUCGCCGUCAUCGUCGCCGCCCGCUGCGGCUACGACCUCGCGUACCCCGCCAAGUCCGCCCUCCAGUGCCGCCACAAGAUGGAGAAGCUCCGCCAGCGCCACCGCGCCGAAAAGAAACACGUCGCCGCCACGCUCCGUCCCGCCGCCUGGCAGUACAACGCUCUCAUGGAGGACCUCGAAUGCGGUCCCCUCCCCAUCUCCGCCCUCGCCCCGUUCCAAAACGACACCGAUUCAGAUCCCGACGACGACGGCACUUAUCGGAACGGCAAUAAUGGCGAUGAGAGCUUUGUGAAGUCGAAGAGUAUUAACUGUAUUCUCGGCGAGAGGCCCGUGAGAAUGAAAAGCGGUGAAAGAGGGUUUUUGAGGGAGCGUGCUGAAGAAGAACGAGACGAAGACGACGAUGACGAUCGCGACGACGAUGUUUUGGCGUUGCCGGCGGAGAUUAGGGCUUUCGCUGAGAGGUUUAUUGGAAUGGAGAGUUUGAAGAUGGAAAUGAUGAAGGAAACUGAAAGGUGUAGGUUGGAGAUGGAGAAGAAGCGGAUCCAGAUGAUUGUGGAUUCGCAGCGGAGGAUCGUUGAUUCCAUUGGGAGGGCGUUUGGGUCUAACAAGAGGGUCAAGAUUACUCAACAAAUCUGAAAGAGAUUGUGAAAUAUAUAAUGAUCGAGAUAAACUCUGAAUGGUUUCUACUAUGGAAGAGUCUACAGAAAUAGUUGCAUAGCGUGCUGCUAGUUGUUUAUUCUAUUUAUUAUUGCAUUUGAAGUCUGUACUUCUCACAUUAAUGAGGGGUUAUUUUAGAGCCAAAGAUUGUGCUUGACUAGCUUGAUGGCUUCUUACCCAGUUUCUUAAGACUAGGGGAUUGUGUUACUGGUUGAAGCCUCCAUAAUGAUUCUGUUUCUGGUUCAAGCCUUCACUAACCCACGUAUUUUCUUUUCCAUCGUAAUGGCUACUGCUUUCAAUUCUCUAAGAACACCAGGGAAAAGUAGUUAUUGUGCAUUUGUCUAUAUAUCCACUUAUUAAUGAGUAAUGAUGAAAAUUUCCUCA